rnacentral:rRNA from 1 species
AUACGUAGGUGGCGGGCGUUGUCCGGAAUUACUGGGCGUAAAGGAUGCGUAGGUGGAUAUUUAAGUGGGAUGUGAAAUCCCCGGGCUCAACCCGGGAACUGCAUUCCAAACUGGGUAUCUAGAGUGCAGGAGAGGAAAGCGGAAUUCCUAGUGUAGCGGUGAAAUGCGUAGAUAUUAGGAGGAACACCAGUGGGGAAGGCGGCGUUCUGGACUGAAACUGACACGGAGGCAAGAAAGCGGGGGUAGCAAACAGGAUUAGAUCCCCUGGUAGGCCACGCCGUAAACGAUGGGUACUAGGUGUAGGAGGUAUCGACCCCUUCUGUGCCGUCGUUAACACAAUAAGUACCCCGCCUGGGGAGUACGGUCGCAAGACUAAAACUCAAAGGAAUUGACGGGG